rnacentral:rRNA from 1 species
UACGUAGGGGGCAAGCGUUGUCCGGAAUCAUUGGGCGUAAAGAGCGCGUAGGCGGCCCGACAAGUCCGCUGUGAAAGUCAAGGGCUCAACCCUUGAAUGCCGGUGGAUACUGUCGGGCUAGAGUCCGGAAGAGGCGAGUGGAAUUCCUGGUGUAGCGGUGAAAUGCGCAGAUAUCAGGAGGAACACCAAUGGCGAAGGCAGCUCGCUGGGACGGUACUGACGCUGAGACGCGAAAGCGUGGGGAGCAAACAGG